CGGAUUGCAGGCUGCAACCCGCCUGCAUGAAGUUGGAAUCGCUAGUAAUCGCGGAUCAGCAUGCCGCGGUGAAUACGUUCCCGGGCCUUGUACACACCGCCCGUCACACCAUGAGAGUCGGGGACACCCGAAGUCCGUAGUCUAACCGCAAGGGGACGCGGCCGAAGGUGGAUUCGAUAAUUGGGGUGAAGUCGUAACAAGGUAUC
rnacentral:rRNA from 1 species